rnacentral:lncRNA from 1 species
AUGGAAUACUUAGAAGCCAUCCCUGAUGCAGAUGUACUUCACAAUAUGAUACAUUCCCAAGGUAUCUUGCAAUUAAAAUUUAAUAAAUGGUUUCUUAUUUUUCAGAUGACUACAUCUAUAAUAUUGAGAAUUUCACAUUAUUGGAAUCCUGAUAAUUGGAUUUCUGCGGUGAUAACUAUAACAGGAGUCCUUUUUUUGUUGUGUAUCUAUGCUGUUGCAUGGUGUCUCUUCAAAGAUGCUCCAGGCUGUUCAAGAUUAUUUCCCAAUUGUUACCACUAUCAGAUGAGUCAAUCAAGUCUUACAACUAAGGAAAUCAUCACAGUGCCAAGGAAUCUGAAUUCAUUUAACAGUCAACCAAAGGCAAAGUCAAAGUCAACAUUAUUGCCUGGAAAUGAAAAUUAACUGGAAAGUAAUAUCUCUUCUACAGUUAGACAGGUGAAGUCAAGACGCUGAACUAGUAAGAAAAUAGAAAAAAAAGCCUACAGACACUAGUAGAAGAUGUUUGAUUUGAGAAGCAUGAAGGUCAUUAUAUCUCUUUGCUUUUAUGUCUCCUGAGAUACGUUUGAAAAUGACUUUUAAAAAAUGAAACAUAUAGCAAGGAAAAACUGCAUACACUGCUUACAUUUUCAUGCUUUUGUGUAUUACUCAUGCUUUUUUUUAUCAACCUGAUUGAUUCCUUGCUGCAAUUACAUUAAUGUUUAUAUAGAUGUGAUCAUUGCUUGUUGGAUAAAUAUUUCACAAUAUGUAAAAUAUCAAAUGGAAAAUAAAAUAAGAGUUACAGCUGUUUUCA